GCCGGGCAUGGUGGCUCAUGCCUGUAAUCCCAGCACUUUGGGAGGCUGAGGCAGGCGGAUCACCUGAGGUCAGGAGUUUGUUGAGACCAGCCUGGCCAAAAUGGUGAAACCCCGUCUCUA
ensembl:misc_RNA Metazoa_SRP Metazoan signal recognition particle RNA